UGCUGCGGGAAGGCCACGCGUGAUCCGUACGCCUGAAGAGCAGCGUAUCUACGAGGAGCGACAGUGAGAGCAGCGGCGGCAGAGAGACCGUCGACGUCGGGCCAACCCGGCGGCCCGAGAAGAAGAGCGUGCCCGCGAUGUGGACUCAAUCCCGGAUACUUGACGCGCGAGCUGUCGCGUUCGUGGUGAUGGCGUAGUUAUGCGUGGUCAUUGUCGUGCCGUCGUGCUGUCGUCGUACCUUCACCAGCUGCCGCUAUUUUUGGACGUCAGCUUUCCCGAAGAAGAGCUGUCCUUCGGGAAGGACCAUGCGCGUGGCCGAGUCGCGCACUGUCCUCCCGUCGUGGAACCACGUGAUGCGUGGAGGAGGGUCUCCGUCCGCGCCGCAACGGAGUGUCACCGGCUCGUGUUUGCGGACC